GAGACGAGAGCUUUGAUUCCUUCCAAAACUGUACAAUUUUGUUCAAUCCAUGGCGACAAAUUUGGGCGAGGCAAAAGGAAGCUUCAUCAAAAGGGACGUUGCAAGACGACGAUGGACUUCCGAUCAAACUGGCUUGGCAGAACGACGCUAUCUCUGAAUCCUCUGCGCAUCGGAUUCCGUCCACCGAAGGUGUGUCAAUUCCAAGUCUCUUGUGAAAAAAGAAUGCCUGCUCUACAUCUCAACCCUCAAACAUUCAGACAUCUAAUUGCUUUAAGUUUUCAAGCUUUGGUCGGCGACACUUACAGGGCUGUAGUCUUAGCCAAUGUCGAUCGAGCCAAGCAAUCAUAACUAGGCAAUGAGAUGAAGGUUAAGACAUCUAAUUGCUUCGAGUUUUCAAACUUCAGUCGGCGACAGUUACAAGGUUGUAAUCUUAGCCAAUGUCUAUGGAGCCAAGUGACACGGUCAUGCUCGUCCAGAGCAUGUUGUACAUGGCCGCUUGUUCAUGCCAUGCCGAACCCUUUAUUUUGUUCCAUGUUGUAUUAUCUUACUAUUAUAUUUUCUGUUUGUAUAACUGUUCGGCGAAAUCAUGUCUAGGCCUGCUAGACCUAAAUCGCCCCAAAAUGUACUAUAGGGGGUGUGACUAGUUGUCAACUCCUCGCAUGAUUUUGUAUGACCGUUCUUGGAAAUCACAUCUAAGCCUACCAGACUUGAAUCGCCUCAAAAUGUACUAUAGAGGGGUGUGGCUAGUUGUCAACUCCUCACCUGAUUUUGUAUGAUCGUUCGGCAAAAUCACAUCUAGGCCUGCCAGACCUGAAUCGCCUCAAAAUGUACUAUAGGGGGAUGCGACUAAUUGUCAAUUCUCCCUACCCGAAAAACUUAUAUGCUACUUAAGUUGUGUUGCCUUUUGCUUGUA